UACGUAGGGUGCGAGCGUUAAUCGGAAUUACUGGGCGUAAAGCGUGCGCAGGCGGUGAUGUAAGACCGAUGUGAAAUCCCCGGGCUUACCUGGGAACUGCAUUGGUGACUGCAUUGCUGGAGUAUGGCAGAGGGGGGUGGAAUUCCACGUGUAGCAGUGAAAUGCGUAGAGAUGUGGAGGAACACCGAUGGCGAAGGCAGCCCCCUGGGCCAAUACUGACGCUCAUGCACGAAAGCGUGGGGAGCAAACAGG
rnacentral:rRNA from 1 species